rnacentral:rRNA from 1 species
UCGAGGAUCUUCGGCAAUGGGCGCAAGCCCGACCGAGCGACGCCGCGUGUGCGACGAAGGCCUUCGGGUUGUAAAGCACUGUCGAGGGGGAGAAAAGCCCGCAAGGGUGUGAUCUAUCCCUGGAGGAAGCACGGGCUAAGUUCGUGCCAGCAGCCGCGGUAAGACGAACCGUGCGAACGUUGUUCGGAAUCACUGGGCUUAAAGGGCGCGUAGGCGGGCUGGAAAGUCCGUGGUGAAAUCCCCCGGCCCAACCGGGGAACGGCCUCGGAUACUUUCGGCCUGGAGGCGGGUAGGGGCGAGCGGAACUGUGGGUGGAGCGGUGAAAUGCGUUGAGAUCCACAGGAACUCCGGUGGCGAAGGCGGCUCGCUGGACCCGAUCUGACGCUGAGGCGCGAAAGCCAGGGGAGCGAACGGGAUUAGAUACCCCCGUAGUCC